AAUCAACGCUGGCGGCGUGCCUCAGACAUGCAAGUCGAACGAGAAGUCCCCUUCGGGGGAUGGAUAGUGGCGCACGGGUGAGUAACACGUGGGUAAUUUACCUUUGGGUGGGGAACAACAGCCGGAAACGGCUGCUAAUACCGCAUAAUGCAGCGGCUCCUCAUGGAGACAGUUGUUAAAGCGGGGGAUCGCAAGACCUCGCGCCUGAAGAGAAGCCCGCGGCAGAUAGCUAGUUGGUAAGGUAAUGGCUUACCAAGGCGACGAUCUGUAACCGGCCUGAGAGGGCGGUCGGUCACACUGACACUGACAUACGGGUCAGACUCC
rnacentral:rRNA from 1 species